UACAGAGGGUGCAAGCGUUGUUCGGAAUUACUGGGCGUAAAGGGUGAGUAGGCGGUUUUGUAAGUCAGAUGUGAAAGCCCGGGGCUUAACCUCGGAAUUGCAUUUGAAACUACAAGACUUGAGUGUGGUAGAGGCUAGCGGAAUUCCCAGUGUAGUGGUGAAAUACGUAGAGAUUGGGAGGAACACCUGUGGCGAAGGCGGCUAGCUGGGCCAUUACUGACGCUGAGGCACGAAAGCGUGGGUAGCAAACAGG
rnacentral:rRNA from 1 species